GAUGAACGCUGGCGGCGUGCCUAAUACAUGCAAGUCGAGCGAACAGACGAUGAGCUUGCUCCUCUGACGUUAGCGGCGGACGGGUGAGUAACACGUGGAUAACCUACCUAUAUUACGGGGAUAACUUCGGGAAGCCGGAGCUAAUACUGGAUAAUAUAUUGAACCGCAUGGUGCAAUAGUGAAAGACGGCUUUGCCGUCACUUUUAGAUGGAUCCGCGCCGCAUUAGCUAGUUGGUAAGGUAACGGCUUACCAAGGCAACGAUGCGUAGCCGACCUGAGAGGAUGAUCGGCCACACUGGAACUGAGACACGGUCCAGACUCCUACGGGAGGCAGCAGUAGGGAAUCUUCCGCAAUGGGCGCAAGCCUGACGGAGCAACGCCGCGUGAGUGAUGAAGGUCUUCGGAUCGUAAAGCUCUGUUAUUAGGAAAGAACAACUGUGGAAGUAACUCUGGACGUCUUGACGGUACCCAAUGAGAAAGCCCCGGCUAACUACGUG
rnacentral:rRNA from 1 species